rnacentral:rRNA from 1 species
UACGGGGGGGUAAGCGUUGUUCGGAAUUACUGGGCGUAAAGGGCUCGUAGGCGGCCAACUAAGUCAUACGUGAAAUCCCUCGGCUUAACCGGGGAACUGCGUCUGAUACUGGAUGGCUAGAGAUUGGGAGAGGGAUGCGGAAUUCCAGGUGUAGCGGUGAAAUGCGUAGAUAUCUGGAGGAACACCGGUGGCGAAGGCGGCAUCCUGGACCAACACUGACGCUGAGGAGCGAAAGCCAGGGGAGCAAACGGGG